GUGCGUUCCCAUCCCACAUGGCGUUGCUCCUGAAGAGUCGGCUGUGGCCCGUGAGGCCCCUCGCGCCCUUGGGCCGCCCCGUGGGACGACGCGCGGCCAGCGUGGGCGCCGAUGCCGGGGCUGCGGUGCGAGUGCGGUUCGCCCCCAGCCCCACAGGCUUCUUGCACCUGGGUGGCCUCCGCACUGCCUUGUACAACUAUAUCUUUGCCAAGAAGCACCAGGGAAGCUUCAUCCUCAGGCUGGAGGACACAGAUCAGACCCGCCUUGUGCCUGGAGCAGCGGAGAAUAUCGAGGCCAUGCUGGAGUGGGCAGGCAUCCCACCUGACGAGAGUCCCCGCCGGGGAGGUCCUGCGAGCCCCUACCAGCAAUCCCAGCGACUUGAGCUAUACGCCCAGGCCACAAAAGCACUGCUGGAGUCCGGCACUGCCUACCCCUGCUUCUGCUCACCACAGCGGCUAGAGCUCUUGAAGAAGGAGGCGCUGAGGAACCGCCAGACACCACGGUAUGACAAUCGGUGCCGGAACCUGACACAGAAGCAGGUGGCCCAGAAGCUAGCCAAAGAACCCAAACCUGCUAUCCGCUUCCGCCUAGAGGGGGAAGCCCCAGCCUUCCAGGACCUGGUGUACGGCUGGAAUCGGCAUGAAGUAGCCAGUGUGGAGGGGGACCCGGUCAUCCUGAAGAGCGAUGGCUUCCCCACGUACCACCUGGCCUGUGUGGUGGAUGACCAUCACAUGGGCAUCAGCCAUGUGCUGCGGGGCUCUGAGUGGCUGGUCUCCACCUCCAAGCACCUGCUUCUCUACCAGGCCCUGGGCUGGCAGCCACCUCGCUUUGCCCACCUGCCUCUGCUCCUCAACAAGGAUGGCAGCAAGUUGUCCAAGAGGCAAGGGGACAUUUUCCUGGAGCAAUUUGCUGCUGCUGACUUCCUGCCGGAUGCCUUACUUGAUAUCAUCACCAACUGUGGCUCCGGGUUUGCAGAGAACCAGAUGGGCAGGACGUUGCCAGAAUUGAUAACACAGUUUGACCUGACCAGGAUCACCUGCCACUCAGCCCUGUUGGACCUGGACAAGCUCCCAGAAUUCAACAGGCUGCACCUCUGUCGGCUGGUGAGCAACGAGACCCAGAGGCGCCAGCUGGUGGGGAAGCUGCAGGCCCUGGUGGAGGAGACAUUUGGGAGCCAACUACAAGACAGAGAUGUUCUGGACCCAGCCUACGUGGAGAGGAUCAUCCUGCUGAGACAGGGUCACAUUUGCCGCCUGCAGGAUUUGGUGUCCCCAGCACACUCCUAUCUGUGGACUCGCCCUGCUGUGGGCCGAGUGCAGCUGGGUAUCAUCUCAGAGAAGGUGGACGCGAUUGCCAAGUGUGUGCUGGGGAUCUUAGAAGCACCCAGUAUAAGCCUAACUCAGGACAUGCUGAAUCGUGAACUGAAGAAGGUAUCAGAAGGCCUAGAAGGGACCAGACACAGUACUGUGAUGCAGUUCCUCCGAGUGGCCCUCAGCGGACAGUUGCAAGGACCCCCCGUGGCCGAGAUGAUGGUGUCCUUGGGAGUAAAGGAAGUGCGAGAACGAAUACAGAAGGUGCUUUCCAGCUAGAGAGAAGACGUGCAGGAUGGUGGAAGUGGCCCUGGGAACCUGGACAUGCCUAGAAACUGCCUUCAGAGGGAAGCAGAGGGGCCCCAGGAAGCUCAUGGAAGGAACCCCGAGUGCAUUCUCUGGGUGCACACAGUGCAUUUAUGGCUUCUCACCUAAUGUCUGGUUCUAGCGGCACAGGUUAGGGGCUGGUUCAUAGAACUGUCUAGAGGCCUUGUGUGUCACAUUGAGCUCAGGCUGCCAGACAGGAGGCUUCAACAACAGAAAACUGUCUUCUCACAAUUCUGGAGUCUGAAAGUCCAAGAUCAAGGUGUCGGCAGAUGUGGCUUCCCAGAGGCCUCUGUCCUUGCCUUGCCCGUGGCCAUCUUCUCUCUCUGUCUUUGCAUGGUCUUUCCUUGCUGUGUGCCCUUGGCCUCUGCCUGGGUGUUCACAUUUCCUCUUUUAAGAUCAUGAGUCAGAUUGGAGGAAGGCCCGCCCUAAAGGCCCAGUUGUAACUUAAUCACCCAUUUAGGGGUCCUGUCUCCACAUACAGUCGCCUUCUGAGGUCCUGGGGUUAAGGCUUCAGCAUAGGAGUGUUAAGGAAGCAGGUCAGCCCCUAACAGCUUGGUAGCUUCCUGGACACGUGGGUCUCAGUUCUCAGGCCCCAUUGGAUGUGGAACAGUGAAGGAUGGCUGUUGCAAGCAGAGCUGAACCAGACAGAAGACCCUCUGGGGCUUGUAAAGGAGAAGUGACCAUCUGCCAAGGGUGAGCACUGCGUUUUAUACUGCUCUUUGUCCUUGCACUUGGGGCAUCCUGUGUCUGCUUCUCUAAAGGUCUUCUCUUUCUCUUUUCCAGUUCUCCAGGCCUGGUCCUUGGACUGAUACCUUUGCCCUGCCUGUUUUACACCUCUUUCUUCAUAUCCAUCUCCUCUCUCUGCCCAUUCUUGUAGAGAAACUGAGGCUCAGAAGAGCUAAUGAACUCUCCUGAUGCAAAGCAAGGAUUUAAACUCAGGCUUACAACAACUUAGAGUCCAAGCCCAACUCUGAACUACUGAGAGACAUCAGAGCCUCUGCUUCUAUGACACAAAGGACGGUUAUGAGAAACUGGCUCGUGAGUUGAUAAAGCUGCUGCCAUUUCCUCAGUUGGAGUGAGCUGACUAUAAAACAGCACGUGUCUUCAGACUGGGGAUUUUGCUCAGUACUGUGGGUAUGUGUGAAGGGACUUCACACAUUUGAAAUAACCUCAGGUUCAUCCCCCAGCGCUUUUGAGAGCAUAGUGAAUUGGUGAGGGCCAUGGAGGCUAACUAUCCAGACUGAAAAGCCAGUUCUACCACCUAUUCACCAUGUGACUUCUGUACCUCAGUUUCCUCAUCUGUAAAAUGGGGUUAGCAGUUGUUACUGUGUCAAAAGAGUGUGAGGAUUAAAAUAGCUGAUAUAAGGAAAGUUCGUAAAAGAGUGCCCAGCAUUUAACAAAUGUUACCUAUUACCAUCAUCAUCACCACUAGUGUUUUCAUUCUUAGAAACAGCGAUCUUAGUUGCAAAGUGUAGAACCAUACUUAGACUAACUUAAACUGCAAAAGGAAUUUAUUGGAAGAGGUAGAAGGAUGUUCACAGAUCCAAAUGAGAGGACUGCCAGCUGGACCUUUCAAGAAACUGGAAUCUACCUACAAACCCACUGGGACCUACGAACCUCACUUUUGUCCCUCUGAGAACUGUUUCUAGCACUCAUCCAGGUCUGCUCCCCUCGUCUUACUUUUGCACAUUGGAUUUCUCUUUCUCUCUCUACUUGCACAACAACUGCCCCAGCCCUAAAAUUGAAUCCUCUUUCUUACCCUACACUACCAAUCAGGUAACUUGUAUUCCAUGUCCAGAUUCCCAGGAGGAAUCUGAUUGGCCUCCCUUGGGUCAGCUGUCUACCCGUGGUCUGGUCAGCUGUAGCCAGUGGGACAGAAUCAUGCAGUAGGACCGUGGCUGUAGGGGGGCCCCACUGUACUGAGUAGGAAGAGUGGUUCCUUCCCCUGAGUGUAUUCUCUGUCAGUAUCACUCAGUAUCUUUUCUAGAAAAUGAUCACUUGUUCUGUAACCAAGUUUGGAAUUUCAUUCACAUUGCCUUUAUACUACUUUGUUUCUCUUUUUUUAAGAUUUUUAUUUAUUUAUUCAUGAGAGACACACAGAGAGAGGCACAGACAGAGGCAGAGGGAGAAGCAGGCUCCAUGUAGGGAGCCUGACUUGGGACUCCAUCCUGGGUCUCCAGGAUCAUGCCCUGGGCUGAAGGCGGAGCUAAACCGCUGAGCCACCCGGGCUGCCCUAUUUUAUUUAUUUCUACAUAAUACUUAAUAUUAUAUGAAAUUAUAUAGUGUGCUUAUAUACGUUUACUGCCUACCUUACUCUGAAAACAUAAAAUUAAGACAGGCAGGCGGUUUGUCUCAUUCUUUGCCUGGCAUAUUGCCUGACACACAAUAGGGAAUCAAGUGAAGAUCUAAUGGGAAAAAAUAAGGGCCCCAUCAGUCAAACCAGUGUGUUCAGAAGUGGCAGUCAUCUGCUAGUCUUAACUGCCAAAUUCUGAUAGUUUCCCAGCAUUGCUUUGCAAGAUUUGCAAUUGUGGUUAGCAGGCUGGUCUAUUGUCUGUAAUUUGCUUUGAAUCUAGCUAGCUUGAGACAUAGACCUCUUUUUUUCAAGUUUUAUUUUUAAGUAAUCUACACCCAACGUGGGGCCUGAACCCACAACCCCAAGAUCAAGAGUCACAUGCUCUACUGACUGAGCCAGUCACAUGUCCCUUUAUGAGAUAGACUUUAGACAAAGACUGAAGUGAAAGGUAGGGACAAAUGGAAUAGUUCAAUAUAGAAGGAUGUGCAGUGGGGACUCAAAUUGGAAGUCAUCUAUUUAUCAGUUAAUAUGUUUGUCUUAUGACAAAAUUCUUCCCUUCCCAGGAAGCAAGAGCAAUGAAUAGUUAGAAAGUGAGGACCCCCUGGGUGAUAGCAGAGUCCAGAGAGGGAGGAUUUUAAUCUGUUCAGGGGUACCAGAAGGCUUUACAGAUGAAGUGACCUUUGAACUGGGUCCUAAGGAUGAAUUUCCCAGGUCUGUGGGGUUUGGAAGAGUAUUCCAAGUAGAAUGAGGAAAGGAGAACUUCUCAAAGGUGGUCAUGAUUGGAACUAAGGGUAGGAGUUAAGGGGGUGUAGAAGUGGGCAGAGAAACUAGGCAGAGGGAAAUUCCAAAUGCUUCCCCUUUAGAGAUUUUGUUUGACAGCACAAUAGGGGUAACAGCAGGCAGAGGGAGAAGCAGACUCCCUGCUGAGCAGGGAGCCCGAUGGGCUUAAUCUCAGGACCCCAAAAUCAUGACCUGGGCCCCCCAGGCUCCCCCCCCAGAUGGCCCUCUUUGCCAGGUUAAGGGUAUCAGGGUGCUGUCUGAUGCAAAUAACAAAACCCAGAUUCAAACCAGCUUAAAAUAAGAUUUAGUAUUUCAUGUAACAGGAAGUUCAGGGGGCAAGGCAGGCUCUAGGGUUGGUUAAUUAAACGUUCAGUGACAUCAGUAAAGACCCUGGGUCUUUACAUCUGGCUGUAUAGCCUUGGGUUGGUUUUCUCUGCUCACAAGUGGCUCGCCUAAAGUGCUUGGGCUUCUCUGCACUUCCUCCUUCGUGUGCUGUCAGAGACUGUGGCUUUUGGCGCCUUUCUCCUUAAAAGCAAGGAAACUUUUCUGAGCACCAUUGCCCCUUUACUUCCCUGUUCUUGAACUUCUGGGGAAGUGGGAGAAGCAUCCUCGUAGACCAGUCAGACCCAGAGCUGGGGGCAGGGACAGCUCUUCCCUAAGCUGCAUGGCUGACUGGGGAGUCUUGGGCACUUGAACAAACCUCAGGUUCAGCUAGUGAAGACAUGAGUUAAGUCUUCAGGAGGUGGAAGGUGAGAAGCCACGGAAAUAUUUUAAGCAGGGAAGUGAUGUGAUCGGAUUUGUGUGUAGAUUAUUUGAAAGCUCAUCCUGGCAGCUGUGCUGCAGAGAGAUUUGAGCAGAACCUGACCAGAAGCAGGGAGCCCUGGUAGGAGAUGACUGGAAAAUGAGGCAUGAAAAGGGGCUGUUGUCCUGGGAAAGCCAUGCUUUCUCCCCACAGCCUGACCUUCGUCUGGCUCCCCAGCUGCACUGCACCCAUUACAGCCCCUCACAUGCCCUCCUGUCUGGUCUUCAACCACAUAAGGCUUCCCGAGGCUGCUAGACACAUCUCCUUCCUGCCUUUGCACUGCUGUCCUCUGUGACUGGAAGACUCGUCCAUCCUCUUUUCUCUGGCUUUGCCAGGUCACUUCCUUCCUAGCCUUCAGAUCCCAGCUCUCCUACCUCAGGGAAGCCUCAGCCUUCACAAAAAGCUCUCCUAUUGUCUUGAGUCAUCAGCACCCUGUUCUUUUCCAAAGCACACAAUUGGAAUCUGUUGCAUAACUACUUGUGUAAGUGAGGAGUUCCACAGUUCUGUAUUGGUGUCAGUCAAGUCUAGGAGAACAGGGGCCUCCUCAGUCUUCACCAUUGUACCCCUGGUGCUGAGAGUGCACUGCUUCACACAGUGGCUGCUCAUCGACACUGCUGAGCAAAACAGAUCCACCUCUGAUUGGAUCAGAUGACCAGGGUGAGCAGUCAAGUGCACUGAUCCUGUCUCAGCCAAAGUCACUAUGUUUAGGCAAGAACACUGUUUUGCAGCGUUCAGGAACUUCACAUCAUUUGUGGUAACUAUUUUCAUUAGUGAAUCACAGGAUAUGAAAUUUUUUUAUUUUUUUAAUUUUUUCUUAUUUUUAUUUUUUGGAAGCCAGGGGAUGCCUGGCUCAGUGGUUUAGCGCCUGCCUUGGGCUCAGGGUGUGAUCCUGGAGUCCCGGGAUCAAGUCCCACAUCGGGCUCCCUCAUGGAGCCUGCUUCUCCUUCUGUCUCUGUCUCUGUCUCUGUCUCUCUCUCUCUCUCUCUGUCUCUCUCUUGUGAAUGAAUGGAUGAAAUCUUAAAAAAAUUUUUUAAAGAAGUAAUUUGGAAGCCAGUACAAUUUGUCUUGGCAUUUGUGCUCAUCAUGAUAGCCUGGGGAACUCCAACUUAAUCCUUGGUGGCUGGGCCAAAUGUUAGGUCAUGGUCUUUCCCGCAGGCCAGAGCCCCCUCAGCCCUGCCCCCUCCCACCACUCCCCCAAUCCUGGUAGCAGUAGGACAGCACAGCAGUCCCUUCACCUGGAGAACCCCUCUAAACCAAAUCCAUUCAAUUCUGUCUUUUUCUCAUUCAUUUGACAAAUACCCAUUGUGUGUCAGGCCCUGUUAGGCCUGGGGAUGUGAAGAGGAGUAAUAAACGUUCAUUAAUUAUAGA